AUAAAAGAAAGAGGGCUGCUUCUUUCAACCUCUGUUUUCUUCAACCUAGGAAAGACUCCGGCUUUACCCCUUUUAAAACAUAAGUACAGAUUAUGGGGUUUAUGGAAUUUGAGUUCUUGGGAUAUCACAUUGAUUACCCCUUUUCUCAUCUUAGGGUUCAUCAGGAGUGAAGGAUGGCAGAUGGGUUUCUUCCCGGUGAAAGAGGGUUUAUGGGAUUUGAGUUCCUAGGUUAAUUAUGAACUUUAAUGGGGUGGGUAAAGUGAAGCAGAAACUCCAGAGAAGAGUGCGGAACCAAGGAAGAAGAAUUUGGAUUUGUCCAACAUUUGCCAAUCAAUAUCUGAAGGGAGAUGUAUUUCUGGAGCCAAAUCUUCUUCGGCAACAGUGCUCAAACUCAUCUAAAGUCCCACGGUUAAUGGAUUCCAUUCACCAUGGGUGUGCACCAUUUGGUUUGUUUCAGAUUUUAUUGGCCAGUUUUGAUUUCGAUUUUUUAUUUUGGUUCAGUAUUGACACCUUUUCGUAUUCAGAGGAAACCCUUUUGAAAAAGCCUUGUUAUGCUUGAUUCUCGUUGCGGUGAAAUUAAAAUUUCUGCUGGAUCUCUGUGCAUAAAGUAUCCUUUAUCAAAAAACAAAGAGAAAUGUUUUAGCAAAUCAGAGGAGAAACUGUUUCUGUAAGACUGGGAAGCUGAUAAGAGUGAAUGAGUGAUCGUUAGAUGGCUGGUGGUGAAGUCAUUCCCAUACCUCUCAUCACUCCAUAUAAGAUGGGAAAGUUCCAACUUUCUUACAGGUUUGUCACAUUUAACCAUUUUAUCUGAUUUAAUAUUGGUUUUUUAUAUCUGGGUUGAGCUUGGAUUUGGUUCCAGUUAGUCUUUUGAGGAGCAUUUGUUGAAGUUAGUGGUGGGUUUUAUGUUUUGGCAUCUAAUUUUCUACAGAAAAGAAAAGGGUAGGAAGAAGCUUUAUACUGUAA